AGGACGAACGCUGGCGGCGUGCCUAACACAUGCAAGUCGAGCGAGGAGAUUCCUUCGGGAUGAUCCUAGCGGCGGACGGGUGAGUAACACGUGGGCAACCUGCCUCAUAGAGAGGAAUAGCCUUCCGAAAGGGAGAUUAAUACCUCAUAACAUUGCAGUUUCGCAUGGAACAGCAAUUAAAGGAGUAAUCCGCUAUGAGAUGGGCCCGCGGCGCAUUAGCUAGUUGGUGAGGUAAUGGCUCACCAAGGCGACGAUGCGUAGCCGACCUGAGAGGGUGAUCGGCCACAUUGGGACUGAGACACGGCCCAGACUCCUACGGGAGGCAGCAGUGGGGAAUAUUGCACAAUGGGGGAAACCCUGAUGCAAGCAACGCCGCGUGAGUGAUGACGGCCUUCGGGUUGUAAAGCUCUGUCUUCAGGGACGAUAAUGACGGUACCUGAGGAGGAAGCCACGGCUAACUACGUGCCAGCCGCAGC
rnacentral:rRNA from 1 species